rnacentral:lncRNA from 1 species
UCACAGAGUACGUUUUCUUAGAUUUCAAGGUACAAUCUGUAGCUGGGGGAACUUUGACAAACACUAAAUUAAUUUAAUUGAAAUGAUGGAGAUCUGGACUUCCAAAAAAUGGGAAUCAGAGGAGACCUGGAAGUAAAGACCCUCCACGGACAGGAGCAGUCAAGAAGGAAAAGCUCUGGGCUCAGAAUGCUCAGUGUGAAACCUGGCCCUGUUGCUCACUGGUCGUGU